ensembl:lncRNA
UCUAUAUCCCAAUUCAAAUAGGAUAUAAUUGACAGGAGAAAGAAGAGUUGGGAGGAGCUGUUACAACAAAGAAUCCAUUGGAGGACCCUGAGAGUUCGAAAUGUAGUGGCUCUUCAUUGGCUGAGCUGUGAUAAUCUCUCAUUGACUGAGCUUUUGCCAGGGUGACGUCCAGACAAGAGUAUGAGAAUCCUUAGUUGCCACACGAAUGCCUCAUUGGAAUGAAGAACAUGAGAUUUCAUUUGUGAGGAGGAACCCAAGAAGAGCGAUCAUUCUCUUCUAACAGCUUAUAAAGAUGUGAAUAGAAUUGUUUUUGUUUUCACUUCUUUCCUCAGGACUCUCUCAACAGUCCUAAUAGGAGACUGUGGUAAGCAACACAGUCCCCGCUGUACGGGAACAGAAUUUACUGCCCUAUAAUAUGUCUC